GAGCAUGUUACAUAGAUUAUGAACCUUAUUAAUUGUUCAUGAGACGAAUAGUCCGGAAUACUGAAAUCAUUUUUGCGUAAGUUAUGGAUUAGUGUUGAAGGUUAGAAUAUAGCCGAGCAAUGUCUAGUUUCCUUACCCGUAUUGGUUGAGCUCAAGCAUACCUCAAGUCUAGAGUGGUUUUAGUCAAGCCAACAAAUAUCAAUAAAUAAAUUUAAGAAAUCUAGACCCACUUUGUUAAUAUGAUCCGCCCCCAAGGCCUAGCUCGAGUGGCAAAAGGUGGAGGAUUUGUGGCUUAGGUCGCAGGUUCAAGCCCCACGCUAUGCAAAGCGAAGCCCGAUAUUUAAGUGGAGAAGGGUAGACGGGCGGGCCCAUUAUCCAUCGAGUUUAGAAGGCAGUGAUUGGUCCAAAGAGCGGGUCACAAACGGAUUUCUCGUUUAUCAAAA